CGAGACGCUCCGAUAACAAAACCUUAAACGAGUCAAAACCCUUAUUAAACCUCAACAUCUGAGGCAGGACCGAUUGUGUUUGAAAUUGAGAUAGAGAUGGCGAAGAAGGAGAAGAAGAGAGAGAGAGAGCGGCUGUCCCGAAUCUAACGAUAACCGUUCAGAAAAGAAGAGAAAAAACGUACACAAAGUUGAACAACACCAAAACGACGACGUGCCGUCCACCGGUGGAAUACCCACCGUCACCAUUGAUCUUCCCGGCUCCAUACUCAAUAAUACCCAGUCACUCGAACUCGCCACUCGUUUGGCUGGGCAGGUCGCUCGUGCUGCUGCGAUUUUCUGGAUUGACGAGUAGGUGGUUGUAUUCGAUAGCAAGAAUAUGUCGGAGGCUACUUCUAAUGAAAUAAUGGACAAUGACUCAGGGUUUGUUGCCCCCGCUUGAUGCCCCACGUCAUCUGCGCAAUCACGAAUAGGCUUUGUACAGGGAAGGUAGUAUUCUAAACCCCUAUAAGUUAUAGUUUGCACUCUGCUUGCCUGCUACUGUGAAUGGAGCCGUUGAUGUGGUUUUGCACUGUAUUUGGGUAAUUUAAAUUAUAUUGAACUAUUCUGAUAGCUUUUGCUACUCAUAUUUGAUUUGAUCUCAUUUCGAUGGUUCCAUAAAGUGGACUUCGUAAAUGUCUGUGUAUGCAAUAAAGAUGGCCCUACUACAUUUUGAUUUCAAGGAUCUUGUAGACACUGUAGUAAAUCAUCUGUCUGUGUACAAAUGGUUCACUUGUUUGGCGCAAAGUUUGGGCAUAUGAUGGCUUACACUUGAUCUCUGAAAUCUCAGGUAAGUUUCAUGUUGAUAUCUUAAAUUGCUGAUGCCCACUACUUUGCACCUCUCUAAUUUGUUUAGGGUUUGGAUGCCAAUGACUUGAUUGUUCCAUGGACAAUAGAACUUAUCAUUAUUGAAAUGUUUACAUAUAGGUGAAUAGAUUUGGAUGUGUUGAUUUGAAUUUCACGAACCUAUUUUUUAACCUUUAGGAAUUUCUGCCAUUCUUUUUCUUGACAUUCAAGUUUAAGUUGUGCAUGUGAUGGCUUACACUUGGUCACUGAACGUCGGGUAAGAUUGUGCCAACAGUCAUUUUCUAAAGCCCUUUGACAUUUUCCAUCUGGAUGUAUAUUUUCAUCCUUUAGUUUUCUCCCCAUUACCCCUAGGAGUCAUUGACAAUCUUCUAAUAGAAUGCUGUAGUCCUUAGCUCACUUGGCAGAUCGUUCUCUUUCACUUAUCAGUAGCAGUGCAUAAUAUAACAGUUUUAUCUCGCCUUGCUAUAAAUUGGUAGUCUUAGGAUCAUAUCCCUCCAUAAUUCAUCAUUGCGUUCUAUGAACAUCUAUUGCAUCAAUUGCUUGACAUGGUGCUUAAUAUUAAGAUUUUAUUUGUUA